rnacentral:rRNA from 1 species
CCUACGGGGGGCAGCAGUCGGGAAUAUUGCGCAAUGGAGGAAACUCUGACGCAGUGACGCCGCGUAUAGGAAGAAGGUUUUCGGAUUGUAAACUAUUGUCGUUAGGGAAGAUAAAAGACUGUACCUAAGGAGGAAGCCCCGGCUAACUAUGUGCCAGCAGCCGCGGUAAUACAUAGGGGGCAAGCGUUAUCCGGAAUUAUUGGGUUUAAAGGGUGCGUAGGCGGAUUUUUAAGUCAGCGGUAAAAUGUCCGGGCUCAACCCGGGCCGGCCGUUGAAACUGGGGAUCUUGAGUGGGCGAGAAGUAUGCGGAAUGCGUGGUGUAGCGGUGAAAUGCAUAGAUAUCACGCAGAACUCCGAUUGCGAAGGCAGCAUACCGGCGCCCGACUGACGCUGAGGCACGAAAGCGUGGGGAUCGAACAGGAUUAGAUACCCCGGUAGUC